rnacentral:rRNA from 1 species
UACGAAGGGGGCAAGCGUUGUUCGGAUUUAUUGGGCGUAAAGAGCGUGUAGGCGGUCAGUCAGGUCCGUUGUGAAAACUCGAGGCUCAACCUCGAGACGCCGAUGGAAACCAUCUGACUAGAGUCCGGAAGAGGAGAGUGGAAUUCCUGGUGUAGCGGUGAAAUGCGCAGAUAUCAGGAAGAACACCCGUGGCUAAGGCGGCUCUCUAGUACGGUACUGACGCUGAGGCGCGAAAGCGUGGGGAGCGAACAGG